UGAAUAUAAAACCUUUGUUACUGUUAAGGCUAAAGUUUUUCAAACCAAUGAGAUCAUUGAGAUAGAGGCUGAUCUUCUUGUUGCUGCAGAUGGGUAUCGCUCUUUAAUUCGCCAAAGUUUUCUUCCAGACCUUAAAUUGAGGUAUUCAGGUUACUAUGCAUGGCUUGGGGUUCUCGAUUACUCAGGGAAUGAGAAUUCUGAAACCAUCCAAAGAUGCGGAGGGUGUACCCUGAGCUUGGGAAAUGCUUGUACUCUGAGCUGGGUUCAGGAACUCAGAGUGGGUUUUAUGAGCUUCUCAACAAAAGGCUUAAUUGGAUUUGCUAUGUCAAUCAACCUGAGCCUGAUCUGAAGAUAAUUGCUUAUUCCAUAUCCAUAUACCGUGCAGAUUAACUUUCUAUAUAAUAGCCAUGGGAUUAAAAUUAAUCCUACUUUUAGUGCCCCAAAGUUUCAGGGAAAUUCAGUCACUUUGAAAGUAAGAGAUGACAUUAUAAAAAAUAAGCACCAAGAGGCAGAGAAGGUUUGGGCUCUGGAGUUGGGGAAAGUGAUGAAAGAAACCAAAUGCUGCUCACCGGAAAACACCUCAUGGACUGAGAAGCACAAACAUGUCAAUAUUAGAUGCAGCAGUCUUACGAAUAUGUGUG